rnacentral:rRNA from 1 species
UACGAAGGGGGCUAGCGUUGUUCGGAUUUACUGGGCGUAAAGCGCACGUAGGCGGACUGUUAAGUCGGGGGUGAAAUCCUGGGGCUCAACCUCAGAAUUGCCUCCGAUACUGGCAGUCUCGAGUGCGGGAGGGGUGAGUGGAAUUCCCAGUGUAGAGGUGAAAUUCGUAGAUAUUGGGAAGAACACCAGUGGCGAAGGCGGCUCACUGGCCCGUAACUGACGCUGAGGUGCGAAAGCGUGGGGAGCAAACAGG